GGGGCAGUUCUUAGAGGUCAGCCUGCCCAGUGAUAACAUUCAACGGCCGCAGUACCCUAACUGCGCGAAGGUAGCAUAAUCACUUGUUCUUUAAAUAGGGACUAGUAUCAACGGCAUCACGAGGGUUGCACUGUCUCCUUUGUCUAAUCAGUGAAACUGAUCUCCCCGUGAAAAAGCGGGGAUACACCUAUAAGACGAGAAGACCCCAUGGAGCUUUAAACCUACAGCAACUCAACCACAUAAUCCCACACAACCUUAGAGACAUGCCUGUUGGCUUUAGGUUGGGGUGACCGCGGAGUAAAAAUCAUCCUCCACAACACAAAGAUCUAAAUCUUUAUUCAAGAGCCACUACUCUAAAAAUUAGCAUACUAAUGUACACUGACCCGAUAAUCGACUAAUGAACCAAGUUACCCUGGGGAUAACAGCGCAAUCUAUUUCAAGAGUUCAUAUCGACAAAUAGGCUUACGACCUCGAUGUUGGAUCAGGGUACCCUAGUGGUGUAGCAGCUACUGAAGGUUCGUUUGUUCAACGAUUAAAACCCUACGUGAUCUGAGUUCAGACCGGA
rnacentral:rRNA from 1 species